rnacentral:rRNA from 1 species
CUGGCGGCGUGCCUAACACAUGCAAGUCGAACGGAGUUACUUAGGACGGAGGAUUCGUCCAAAGACCUUUGUAACUUAGUGGCGAACGGGUGAGUAACGCGUAAGCAAUCUACCUUCAAGAUGGGGACAACACUUCGAAAGGGGUGCUAAUACCGAAUGAAUGUAAGAGUAUCGCAUGAGACACUUACUAAAGGAGGCCUCUGAAAAUGCUUCCGCUUGAAGAUGAGCUUGCGUCUGAUUAGCUAGUUGGUGGGGUAAUGGCCUACCAAGUCGACGAUCAGUAGCCGGACUGAGAGGUUGAACGGCCACAUUGGGACUGAGACACGGCCCAGACUCCUACGGGAGGCAGCAGUGGGGAAUAUUGCACAAUGGGCGCAAGCCUGAUGCAGCAACGCCGCGUGGAGGAAGACGGUUUUCGGAUUGUAAACUCCUGUUCUUAGUGAAGAAUAAUGACGGUAGCUAAGGAGCAAGCCACGGCUAACUACGUG